rnacentral:rRNA from 1 species
CGGAGGGUGCAAGCAUUGAUCGGAAUUACUGGGUGUAAAGGGCGCGUAGGCGGCAGAAAAAGUCGGAUGUGAAAUUCCGGGGCUCAACCCCGGAGCUGCAUUUGAAACUAUUCAGCUAGAGGUUGGUAAGGGAAACGGAAUUCCACGUGUAGCGGUGAAAUGCGUAGAUAUGUGGAAGAACACCGGUGGUGAAGACGGUUUUCUGUGCUAAACCUGACGCUGAGGCGCGAAAGCUAGGGGAGCAAACAGGAUUAGAUACCCUGGUAGUCCUAGCCGUAAACGAUGCAUACUAGAAGUAGGAGGGCUCAACCCUUUCUGUUUCGGAGCUAACGCGUUAAGUAUGCCUCCUGGGGAGUACGCUCGCAAGGGUG